CAGUCGUACCGGCGGAUAAUCAGCCUUUCGGGUGCGAUUCUGUGGGGCGUGAAGAGUUUAACCGCCUUCAUGUUUUGCAUAUUCGUGCACAUUUGGUGUACUUGUCCGUGUGGUGGGUUAACAUCAAUUUCGGACGUCAUAAAAUGAUUGGAGGAAUGUAGCUUUGAUCUCGUAUUGAAGUGUUAUAGCCUCUGGUAGAUGUGACGAUUGGGGAUUGGAGGAUUGCAACGGACUACCCCGUCGGGGUUACCCCGUCUGACUCUCU
rnacentral:rRNA from 1 species